rnacentral:tRNA from 1 species
ACCCCGGAAGCUAUUGAAGCGUUAGGCUUUUAACCUGAAGAUAGUGAAGUUUUCACCCGGAGU